AGUUAAUGGGUGCAGCACACCAUCAUGGCACAUGUAUACAUAUGUAACAAACCUGCACGUAGUGCACAUGUACCCUAGAACUUAAAGUAUAAUAAAAAAUAUAUCUAUAUAUUAAAAAAGAAAGAAAAUUUGAAGGUAUAAGCGUAUUACUGAACACCAAAGAUUCUUUAGUUCCUCAGUUCUCAGCUCAAUUAGAAGUAAACAACACCUUUCAGCAUUUCAUUACAGUAUUCAGCUCUUUUUCUGGCUAUUUUACUUUCAGCCUUACCCUAGUACAUUAAAAAACAAAGUUUCUGUCUGUUUUUCAUUCCAGAUUUCUCUUAAUUGCCCCAGUGAAGCUGUAAGCUGUCAUCAUGGCCAUUUCCACUCUCCUUGUAGCUCUUUGACUUCCUUGCAUUUAUUCUAUUUAUUUUAUUUAUUUAUUUAUUUAUUUAUUUAUUUUUUGAGAUGGAAUUUUGCUCUUGUCACCCAGGCUGAAGUGCAGUGGUGCAAUCUCAGCUGUCUGCAACCUCUGCCUCUCAGGUUCAAGUGAUUCUCCUGCCUCAGCUUCCUGAGUAGCUGGAACUACAGGCACGUGCCACCACACCUGGCUAAUUUUUGUAGUUUUAGUAGAGACAGGGUUUCACCAUGUUGGUCAGGCUGGUCUCAAACUCCUGACCUCAGGUGAUCCGCCUGCCUCAGCCUCCCAAAGUGCUGGGAUUACAGGCAUGAGCCACCAUGCUCGGCCAUAUUUAAUUUCUAUAUUAGCACCCCAAUUGCUUUGGGAGAAUUACCUUUCCCUGUUAGUAAGACUAUGAAUCAAAUUGUGGAGGCUCCUUUUAGCCAAGGUUGGAUGCAUGACUAGAAAGUUAGGCAAUCCCACUUCCUCCUAGAAUCUGAAACCUGAGCAGAGGGACAAAACAUAUGCUCCUUUGUUAUUCCAGCAGCUGGGCUCUGUCAAGUCGGAUACGUAGACCACUUGAAUUUCCCUUCUAUUUCCUAGUCUAAUUCUCCUGUCUUCCAUCACUCAAUGAGCUCUCUUGUAAUCCCAAAACACAAUUAUCUCCCCAUAUACCUCUUACAGAGCUAGCUGCUCAUUCUGCAGUACCUUUCUGAAAAUGUGUAUGUUUGAGGAAAAAUCAGAAGUAGCAUAGGUCUAAUCCAUGUCCCAGUUUUAAAUGUAUGGAAGCACGUGACUAAGUCAUUCAGUCAAGACAUACAGCUGACACAGUUUAGGAACAGUCUUCCACUAUGUUGGCUGACAUGGAUUAGGCACAGCUGAACUACAGCCAAGUGAAAUCACACUGCAUUUAACAUUUGCCUUUAAUGUCAAAAUAGUGUCUUCUUUGUGUUCUAUCAUAACUGUAAAGCUUCCUGAUACAGUUUAGGACUCCCUUUUGGUUUUGUUAAGUCUUGUGCCAGUUAACAAUGGCUGAUCAACUGAAGAAAUGCAAACGUUGACUGGGUGUUUGAUGAUAUUGAGGAAUAAUCAUUAAUGUUUAGAGGCAAUAAUGAUUUUAAGGGCAUGUCACAUGUUUAUUAAAGAGUCCUGUCUUCUAGACAUGUAUGCUGAAAUAUUUCUUGAUUAAAUAAAUGACUGAAACUUGCCACAAAAUAACUCAGAAACUGAGGAAAGCUGGGGGAAGGAUGAAGGAAAUGUGUCAAUAUGUCCACAUAUGAAUACAUAGACGUUCUUUAUACCAGAGUUUUCCAAAAUUCAAAAAUAUGGUAAAACAAUGCCUGAUUCUAUCUCAAUUAUACAUUACUAUUAUAGUUACUAUUAAUAACAAGAAUUUUGUGAGCUUUAUUUGCAGUUAAUUGGGAGACAAUUAACUGAACCAUACCAAGAACUUCAACUCUCCUCAUCCCCUCUGCCAUACUGGCUGAUCACUGACCAGCUUGCAAAGAAUAAUAAGGAGCUCCCUAAAGAAAAGGACCACUCUCUGAUCUUCUCAUUCUGCUCAUAGCAGCAAGCCAGCACAUGGGAGUCACUCAAGAGUCAAUAUUGAAUGAAGCAGUUCACCAUGGCUGAUGCCCGGGUGGUGCUUGGAGAGAGUAAGAAGCCGCCUGCCUGCAGCUCCUAGGCCAGGAGCCUGGUCAGGUGCUCCACACAUCUCCUCUGUUGUUAUAUCUUCACAAGAAGCCUCAUGAUGGGGUCUUCCCUGUGGCACAGACAAGAUACCUGGAACUCAGAGAUCCACCCCUUCCCAAUUCCACAGCAAGCCUGGAACCAGUGCUUUCUGUCUCAUGGAAAUGAUCAAUAGCCAAUCUGAUACUGUCAAUAAACUUUUUACAAAACUAUCAGCCAGAAAUAAUCACCUUUUGGGGUUUCAAUUUUCGGUGUUUUUGUUUUCCUGUUUUCUCACAUGUAACCAUUAUGUAAUAAAGAUCAGAC
rnacentral:lncRNA from 10 species